rnacentral:lncRNA from 1 species
GGUGUCUUGAAAGAACUUAUUUCUCCCCUUUGAUUAUAGUAAUGCUGGAGAGUAAGCGUGAAGAGGACGUGAGCAAAUUAGAAGACAGCAAAGGUGCUGUUUGGCCUAACUACCACAAGGGGCGCUGUCUCCUAGCCGGGAGGACAGCUGAUUACCCUGAAUGCUGGUGCUGUCUUCUGGAGCUGAAGACCGGUGGGAGUGGAUCCCUCCAGCUCUCCUGGGGGAUGGAGGAGGAGGAAUAGAGGAUUUGUGAGAGGAGGGAGUGGUAAGAGCACAGUCCAUAUUAUGCACUCACAUGCUAUCAUGACUGCACAGAAUGCCCCUUGCAAAGCUCUAAUUGUUUUUCGUUCCUGAAUGCAACAAGGCACAGAUGGCCAAUAAUAAAUAGACCAUCCAGCCCCCUG